rnacentral:rRNA from 1 species
UACGUAGGGGGGCAAGCGUUGUCCGGAUUUAUUGGGCGUAAAGAGCGUGUAGGCGGCCAGGGAGGUCCGUUGUGAAAACUCGAGGCUCAACCUCGAGACGCCGAUGGAAACCCCCUGGCUAGAGUCCGGAAGAGGAGAGUGGAAUUCCUGGUGUAGCGGUGAAAUGCGCAGAUAUCAGGAAGAACACCCGUGGCUAAGGCGGCUCUCUAGUACGGUACUGACGCUGAGACGCGAAAGCGUGGGGAGCGAACAGG